GAGAGGCCUAGGGUCAGGGCCUUUGUCUGCACAUCCUCACUGGGAUCGGGGUUAGUACCCCUUGGCUGCCCUUAACUUGGAAUAUGUCUUGGUAUCUCUACUCUCGCCAUAGAUUGCAUUGGAGUGGUAAAUUGGAAUUAACUUGCUGGGAUUCCAAUAACAUCUCAAUGGGAUUACAAACAGAACUUUCUGGAUUCAAGGAAGACUAGAAAAGGGAUUAUGAUACCUUGGAUAACUGUACUCAAUAUUUGGAAUUACAAUAUUUGGCGCUCAAUGUGGCCAGAACACACACCUUCACACUGCAAGAAUCAACCAUCAUCUAGGAGACAACCCACUGGGCCUUGCAGGACAAAUUUUAAGGGGAUCACUUCAAGUGUGCGACAGCAGUCCUUUGCCUUCCCCUCUGACUAAGAGGAACAACUCAGGCCCAUCCCGAGGACCUUUUAAUCUUCGGGAAGAGCAAGAGCUUGUCAUAUAGGAUUCACUGCUGGAAGACGAUUUGAGGCCAUGCAACCAUGACUAACCCUGCAGGAGCUACAAAACAAGAAAGGGAGAGAUGUGGGAGACAACUGGAGCAACUCCCCUUGAAUGCAGAACAACUGCUGCUACUUUGAUUAUAGACUGAUCUCCUUAUACUGAUUUGUACAGAGCUGGCUAUGGUAUUUCCUUCUCUCUUCAAUUGACUCUAAGCAUUGCAAAUAAGGCCAGCCAGGUACUGGUAUGUAGUCUCUAAAGCCAUCAGACAGUCUCCUGUUCCCUUGAGUAGUGUUCUCUAUAAAAGAUGUGGGCACAGCUGGAUGGCAGAGCCAGUCAGCUCCAGGCAUGUCAACUGGAUAUUAGCCUCCAGGUAAAGAGGCUAUGAGUCCCCAGGGCACAAAAAUUUAUAUAUCAGAAACAGAAACAACAGCCUCCAAAAACAAUUCAGUUGCUACCUGAAUUGAAUUAUGUAGAUUGAUCAUUUUGCAUGUCUGUCUCACUGCAUUUUGCAGAGAUGCCUUUCUCCCACCUGGCCAGUCAGCUCAAGUUACUCACAUAAUUCCCACCAUCCUCACUGUCACUCAUCCCUGUGCCACCCCCCUUCUCCACAAGAUAAUAAAUUCUGGGAGAGGCCUAGGCCUUUGUCUGCUCAUCCUCAUGGGGAUUGUGUUUAGGGCCCCUUGGCUGCCCUUAACUUGGAAUCUGUCUUGGUGUCUCUGCUCUCACCAUGGAUUGCAUUGCAUUGAUGGUGGUAGAUUGGAAUUAACUUGCUGGGAUUCCAAUAAUGUCUCAAUGGGAUUACAAAUAGAACUUUUUGGAUUGUGAGGAAAACUGGAAAAGGAUUACAAUAUUUGGAUAACUGUACUCAAUAUUUGCGAUUACAGUACCUCGGGUCCAGUUUCAGGUAGAUUUGUCAAGGUUCUCCUCCUCACUUAAGAAGGAAAUGCUAACAAAACCUCCCUCCAGAGCUGGAUGUGGUGGGGCACUUGGGAGGCUGAGGCAGGAGGAUCAUUCGAAAGUUUGAGAUCAGCUUGGGCUACAAAGUGAGCCCAAAUCUAGCCUGAACUGCACAGUGAGACCGUGUCUCACAAAAUUGAAAAAAAAAAACAACUCCCUCCUUUGGGCUCAAGAGGGUUUAGGAGGAAGGCCUUAGAACAAAAUUCAGAGGCUUCUGGAAAGACUUUGCCCAGGCACAGCUCCAGGCCCCCUACCAUGGUCCCGGAGGGGACACACACGUGUGCACACUGCAGCUUCCCUGGCUCCCAGUUUGAGGCUGGAAGUUUCGUGUUACUUCCUCCCCCCCAUGGCACAGGCCCUGGUCCAUCUCCAAUAUGCCAGGGUGCAUGUGCACGCGCACGGGGUGGGUGUACAAGUCUGUGUCUGUGCAAGCCUGUGCCGUUUCCCUCCCCAAGGUGUACCCUGCCUUUCCCUGAAGCCCCAGGACAGAAUGGUGCACCCCAUCUGCUGUCCAGUGGCCUGAAGUGUCCAGACCAAGCCAGCUCUCCACUGACCAGUCACAAAGCUGAAAGCCAGCUUGACCUCCUGUCACCUUGCCAGGGCCAACGUCUAUUAACUGAGCAGCAGCCUCCUAUGGUGGUGACAGAGCAGUGUGACAACCACAAUGACAUGAAGGGCCCAAGAACAGACCACACAAUGCCCAAGAGAGAACCCUGAACCCCAUGAAUGGACUUUAUUUGGAAAAAGGGACUUAGCUGUUGGGCGCAGGCGCUCAACAUACCAUACCCCACCCGGGACUAAGGACCACGCCAGCUUCCGCAAUGCACUACGUCCCUCUCUAAAUUAGCCAACCCGUGCGCACCUCGUGCUCACUCCGUAUUCGCCCCGUGCCGACUCUGUGGCAACUCCUGAUUGGCCACAGCUGGAUAUAGUAGCCAGAGCCUGCGUCCCAUUCCCGCCCUGCUUCCUCGUGGCAGCCUGUGAUUGGUCACGGCCAAAUAUAUAAACCAGAGCCCAUGUAAAUAAAGCAGCAGUUAACUGUCGCCCACAA